CAGAGUUUGAUUCUGGCUCAGAACGAACGCUGGCGGCAUGCCUAACACAUGCAAGUCGAACGAAGGCUUCGGCCUUAGUGGCGCACGGGUGCGUAACGCGUGGGAAUCUGCCCUUUGCUACGGAAUAACUCGGGGAAACUCGUGCUAAUACCGUAUGAUGUCGCAAGACCAAAGAUUUAUCGGCAGGGGAUGAGCCCGCGUAGGAUUAGCUAGUUGGUGGGGUAAAGGCUCACCAAGGCGACGAUCCUUAGCUGGUCUGAGAGGAUGAUCAGCCACACUGGGACUGAGACACGGCCCAGACUCCUACGGGAGGCAGCAGUGGGGAAUAUUGGACAAUGGGCGCAAGCCUGAUCCAGCAAUGCCGCGUGAGUGAUGAAGGCCUUAGGGUUGUAAAGCUCUUUUACCCGGGAAGAUAAUGACUGUACCGGGAGAAUAAGCCCCGGCUAACUCCGUGCCAGCAGCCGCGGUAAUACGGAGGGGGCUAGCGUUGUUCGGAAUUACUGGGCGUAAAGCGCACGUAGGCGGUUUCUCAAGUCAGAGGUGAAAGCCCGGA
rnacentral:rRNA from 1 species